rnacentral:lncRNA from 1 species
UGUGGGUCCCUGCUCUAUGGACUUAUCCACCAAGGGAUGAAAUGUGACAGUAAGUUUUCUUUUCCAGUAGUUGGCCAGGCUCUGCAGCUCAUGGCUGGGUUUGCUAAGUGCCAAAGUCUCAGAAACUUCUCAAUAACAGCUCACCACCAAAGAGAAGUGGUCCAGAUAAAGACAAGGCUCAAAGACUGAGGAAUUAAUCUCUUCUCCAGCUUCUGGGUUCUGGUUUGUUAUAACUACUUGCUUGUCUGACUAUGAACCCCCUGAAGGUAAUCGGGUUUAUAAAUGGAGUUAGUCGGUGCUGUCACACUGUGUGUGUGUGUUAGAAAUCUUCAAUCCCUGUAAAAUGCAGGCUAGUCAAACCCCACAGAAGAUUCUCCACCUCCAGAUUCCACAUUUGGUUGGCUUCAAAAUAAGCUAAGAAACCAGUCAUUAUCUUCCUAUGCCUCUAAUUAGUGGGUGGACUGUGGAAAAAUCCAGCAGGCUUCUCCAUAAAACCGAAGCUAAAGCGAGCAUGAAAACCAGGGUGGCAUCUUGAGCUCCCUCACCCUGCCCGUUGAUGAACGGAUGGAUCUAUAGCAGCCGAGUUAUGUACAGCAUCACAGAGGUCAGUGACACAAGGGACAGGAGGCCAUUUCCAUCCUCCUCCCAGCCAUGUCUGCAUCCUUAUCCAAUACCAAAGAGAGAAAAACAUAGCCUAGGAAAGUUUCUGAUUUGCUAAUUCUCUAGUGACAAAUUUACCUAGCUCGAUGCUUAAAUAAAAAUGUGUGUGUUUAGGGCUGAAAAGGCAGCUACUAAGCCUGUGUCCUUAAUAAAUGUCAGGAAGGCACCAGCAUGUUCUUGUUCCUAAGGACUGCAUCGACCUCAGAGCUUUGUAUCCUGAGGUGUUGGGCGUGUGUGAGUCUCUCAGAGCCCAGGGUUCGUUCAGCUUACCUAGCCGUGCAGGUUAAUGGCCUUAUCAUCCAUGCCAGAUUCCAAACACAUCAUUUUAGUCAUUCUCAAUGUUUCUAAAAAUGGUGAUCCUAAGUACAUUUGUAAAUGUAUUUUUGGCUAUUUUAAAACUUGGAGCAGGGCUGGAGAAAUGGUGUCCAGGGGGUGAUGACACCUGCUACCAAGAUUGACAACCUGGCAUCAAUCUCUGGAAGCCACAUGACAGAUGGAAGGAAAGAACAGAUUCAUACAGAAUGAUCUCUGGCCUCCACCUGUGUGCCGUGGCCGGGGCAGCACAAUAAGUAAAUGUUAGCAUCAUUUUUAAACAUGGAGCAAAAAUGAACACUCAUAUGUGUUGCAUACAUGUCAACCUUGUCACAGUUAGCAAGACCAUGCGACGUUAAUAUCUCACCCCCACUCAAGUGGUAGAGCUUGUCAUAGAGUUCCCCCAAUCAAUGCACUCCCCUGAGAAGUCUGCUGGGGAAUCAGGGAGAGGUGUGCCCUUCCACCCCAUCCCCACGUGUAUAUUCUCUUUAGGAUGAAGCAAGGAUUUUAUGUGCCCAGUAAUUUUAAUUACCAUGCAGAAACAGAUGAAUUGCCAGAUAUGGUUUCUAGUCAUUUGCUGCUGCUGUAGCAAAGUACCUGAAAUGGGGUCCUUUAUGAAGAAUCAAAAUGUAUUUAAUCUCAGAGCUCUCAGAUAAAGCACCUGCCUGCAGUGUGGCCUUGUUACAACAUGAGAACAUGGUAGAGGGGCCUCCUCUGGAAAGGUAGACUGGGAGAGUAGCCGAGAGCUCUCGUCUGUUUAUACAGCCACAGCGCCACCAUAAGAAUCCCUCAGAGUCACGCUCACAACCUCAUGUACUACUGUCUACCCCCAAAGGUCUCUCCUACUCUGGGUGAAACUUCCAGCACACAAACUUUGGGGAGAUCUUUCUUCCAUAACAGACAUUAACUAGACUCACAAACCAUCCAUUUUAGAGUUUUGUUUCCUGGCUACCCUUGAGUGUCUUUGUAAUAAAUAAACUGUAUAAAUCUGAAUUUAUUAGCUAAAUUUUUGACAAUACUACCCAUCUGGUUUUACAUACUAGGAUUCUGCUUUAGAUUUCAUUUGGAACAAAAAGAACUCCAUUUCUAAACUAUUUUGAAAGACAUUGACCCAAGCCAAUUUUUUGUGUUAUUAUUAUUAUUGUUGUUGUUGUUGUUAUUUCUGUAGACUUGGUAUCUGGGGCUCCUUCCUGGAAGGAGGAGAAUGGGCAGAAGGCAUCGGGAUCCCAACCCUACCUUAGCAGAGAGAUACAGAAGUCACUAUACACACUCUUGUCUGCUGUCUCCUUGGACUCUGUGCACAGUUCCUCUUGGUGGGGAAAAUGCUAGCCACCACUUAUGUCAGCCAACCCUUUGUAGGGUAAGAAAUGGGAUGAGAGUAUGCAAAGGAUCUCCCCAAGGUACAAAAGCUGUUUCGAGUAGAGCCAAAACCAGAGUACAAUCAGUGUGUGUUUACUCCCAAGUGUGACCCCAGUGUGUGUCCACUUCCGAGUGUGACCCAAGUUUGCAUUCACUCCCAAGUGCAACCCCAGUGUGUGUUCAUGACCCCACAGCAUCCUUGGUAACCAUAUUCUUUCCGAGGCCCUGUAAUUAUCAUCCUCAAAUUUCAGCUCAUGCCCAGGUACCCAAAGGUAGAUAGGGCUUGGGUAACCCUCGGGAGGUGAAUAGCACAACCUCGCAAGAGUCUUCGUUGCUAAGCCCCAGCCAAUACAGCGUCUUGAACAGGGAGCUUUGUGGACAGAAACCUGAGGAGAUCCACAUGUGAGAAGCAGUUUUCAGUAUUUAGUUGCAGCAAAUAGGUCUUAUUUAUGACUUUUUCC